UACGUAGGGGGCAAGCGUUGUCCGGAUUUAUUGGGCGUAAAGAACGUGUAGGCGGCCAUGCAGGUCCGUUGUGAAAACUCGAGGCUCAACCUCGAGACGCCGAUGGAAACCGCAUGGCUAGAGUCCGGAAGAGGAGAGUGGAAUUCCUGGUGUAGCGGUGAAAUGCGCAGAUAUCAGGAAGAACACCCGUGGCUAAGGCGGCUCUCUAGUACGGUACUGACGCUGAGACGCGAAAGCGUGGGGAGCGAACAGG
rnacentral:rRNA from 1 species